rnacentral:rRNA from 1 species
AUUGAACGCUGGCGGCAGGCCUAACACAUGCAAGUCGAGCGGAUGAGAAGAGCUUGCUCUUCGAUUCAGCGGCGGACGGGUGAGUAAUGCCUAGGAAUCUGCCUGGUAGUGGGGGACAACGUUUCGAAAGGAACGCUAAUACCGCAUACGUCCUACGGGAGAAAGCAGGGGACCUUCGGGCCUUGCGCUAUCAGAUGAGCCCAGGUCGGAUUAGCUAGUCGGUGAGGUAAUGGCUCACCAAGGCGACGAUCCGUAACUGGUCUGAGAGGAUGAUCAGUCACACUGGAACUGAGACACGGUCCAGACUCCUACGGGAGGCAGCAGUGGGGAAUAUUGGACAAUGGGCGAAAGCCUGAUCCAGCCAUGCCGCGUGUGUGAAGAAGGUCUUCGGAUUGUAAAGCACUUUAAGUUGGGAGGAAGGGCAGUAAGUUAAUACCUUGCUGUUUUGACGUUACCGACAGAAUAAGCACCGGCUAACUCUGUGCCAGCAGCCGCCGUAACAC